AUUGAACGCUGGCGGCAUGCCUUACACAUGCAAGUCGAACGGCAGCACGGGGGCAACCCUGUGGCGAGUGGCGAACGGGUGAGUAAUACAUCGGAACGUGCCCAGUAGUGGGGGAUAGCCCGGCGAAAGCCGGAUUAAUACCGCAUACGACCUACGGGUGAAAGCGGGGAUCGCAAGACCUCGUGCUACCGGAGCGGCCGAUGUCAGAUUAGGUUGUUGGUGGGGUAAAAGCCUACCAAGCCGACGAUCUGUAGCUGGUCUGAGAGGACGACCAGCCACACUGGGACUGAGACACGGCCCAGACUCC
rnacentral:rRNA from 1 species